AUUGAACGCUGGCGGCAGGCUUAACACAUGCAAGUCGAGCGGAGAGAGGUAGCUUGCUACUGAUCUUAGCGGCGGACGGGUGAGUAAUGCUUAGGAAUCUGCCUAUUAGUGGGGGACAACAUUUCGAAAGGAAUGCUAAUACCGCAUACGUCCUACGGGAGAAAGCAGGGGAUCUUCGGACCUUGCGCUAAUAGAUGAGCCUAAGUCGGAUUAGCUAGUUGGUGGGGUAAAGGCCUACCAAGGAGACGAUCUGUAGCGGGUCUGAGAGGAUGAUCCGCCACACUGGGACUGAGACACGGCCCAGACUCCUACGGGAGGCAGCAGUGGGGAAUAUUGGACAAUGGGCGCAAGCCUGAUCCAGCCAUGCCGCGUGUGUGAAGAAGGCCUUAUGGUUGUAAAGCACUUUAAGCGAGGAGGAGGCUACUUUAGUUAAUACCUAGAGAUAGUGGACGUUACUCGCAGAAUAAGCACCGGCUAACUCCGUGCCAGCCGCCGCGGUAAGAC
rnacentral:rRNA from 1 species